GCCUGUUUAGCUCAGUUGGUAAGAGCGCCUGCCUGAUACGCAGGAGGUCGGUGGUUCAAUCCCAUCAACAGGUAC
rnacentral:tRNA from 1 species